rnacentral:misc_RNA from 1 species
CCAACCUUUUUAGUGAGCCUUGGGCUUGUCCCGUGGUCUCGCGAAAUUCUGUAUUUAAAACCCGCUCAUAUAACUAAAACAUGUAGUAAUAUGAUAAUUAAAGA